CGCACACACGCACACACACGUGUGUACGCAUGCACGCGCACGCACGCGCACGCACGCAUGCGCGCACACGGUGCUGGGCUGCGGACUCGGCAGGAGAGCUGCCCGCGGGGUCACAGGCACCGGGAGACGAACCAGCCCCGCACCCUCCAGCGGGGCAGAACUUACGCGAUCCUCCGGCUCUGGGCGCUGCUGAAGCCCGCGAAGGAGGCGCUCCGGCCCACGACCCCGACAGCCCCCGCGUCCCCGGAGGACAGGAACCGCAGCCUCACCGACAUGGCCGUCACCUAAGACGGGGAGAGGACAGGAGAGUCAGCCUCGCACCGCCGUCUGAUAAAGAAAUUAAGACUCAGAGAGGAGAGGAAAGGACUCAACCAAGGUCCCACAGGUAACCUCCUAUUUAGAACAAACUGUCUUCUGUAUGAUAGAAAGUGUUUUUUAACAAAUAAUAGCAUAUUUAAAUGAAGAGUAAUGGAUUUGAAGGACACUUGGCUUCAGUAGAGCAGGUAGGAACCCAGCUUCUUGGCGGUCCACAUUUCUAGGUCCCCCCCUGUGGAAAUAGGACCGGGAGCCGGGGGGAAGGGGGGGAUGGGAAACCCAGGUGUGUCUCUGCAGGUGGCCUGAUGGAGAGCCAGACAGCGCUGGUUUCUAGUGGAAGGGAAGAGCAAGCAGCUCCUCAGGGAGCCCCAGCUGUCCCCCCAGAGUUUGUUGUAUCAGGGCUGCAAGGCAAACGGAAACUUCCUGAUGGUUCAAGACCAGGCAUGGGAGUCAGGCUCCGGGAUCCAAGAGGCUCCCUUCCCUCAGUUUAUCACACAGCCUAUAGCCCCCUGUGACCUUCCUGCC